rnacentral:rRNA from 1 species
AUGGUGUUGCUUGACAUUAGGGGUAUGUUGCAGUCCAUGGGUAAAGACAUUGUUGAUUUCGCUCUUCCAAGCAUAGAUGAUGUAUUUGACCCAACAGAGGGCGAGGCAAGAGAGGUCAUCGAGGAAUCAACCGUUGAGUUUGACAUGGAUGACACUAAAUUGGCAUCUUCCCUGAACUUGGAGCAGAGGGCCGCAUACGACGAGAUACUAGGGGCUGUUGAACGCGGUCAUGGGGGUGUAUUCUUUGUUGAUGGCCCUGGAGGUAUAGGGAAGACAUUCCUAUACAGGGCGAUGCUUUCCAAGGUGAGGAGUGAGGGCAAGAUUGGUAUCGCUACCGCGACGUCGGGCGUCGCCGCUUCUAUCAUGCCUGGUGGCAGGACAUCCGACUCAAGGUUCAAGAUCCCAUUA